rnacentral:rRNA from 1 species
CGGAGGAAAAGAAACCAACAGGGAUUGCCUCAGUAACGGCGAGUGAAGCGGCAAGAGCUCAAAUUUGAAAGCUGGCCCCUUCGGGGUCCGCAUUGUAAUUUGCAGAGGAUGCUUCGGGAGCGGCCCCCAUCUAAGUGCCCUGGAACGGGCCGUCAUAGAGGGUGAGAAUCCCGUCUGGGAUGGGGUGCCCGCGCCCGUGUGAAGCUCCUUCGACGAGUCGAGUUGUUUGGGAAUGCAGCUCUAAAUGGGUGGUAAAUUUCAUCUAAAGCUAAAUACUGGCCGGAGACCGAUAGCGCACAAGUAGAGUGAUCGAAAGAUGAAAAGCACUUUGAAAAGAGAGUUAAACAGCACGUGAAAUUGUUGAAAGGGAAGCGCUUGCGACCAGACUCGCUCGCGGGGUUCAGCCGGCCUUCGGGCCGGUGUACUUCCCCGCGGGCGGGCCAGCGUCGGUUUGGGCGGCCGGUCAAAGGCCCUCGGAAUGUAACGCCCCCCGGGGCGUCUUAUAGCCGAGGGUGCCAUGCGGCCAGCCCGGACCGAGGAACGCGCUUCGGCUCGGACGCUGGCAUAAUGGUCGUAAGCGACCCGUCUU